GUGCAGCAGGCGCGAAAACUUUACAAUGUGCGAAAGCACGAUAAGGGAACUCUGAGUGCCUCCUAAGGAGGCUGUUCAGGUGUCUAAAAGCACCUGAAGGAAGGGCUGGGUAAGACCGGUGCCAGCCGCCGCGGUAACACCGGCAGCCCAAGUGGUAGCCACGUUUAUUGGGUCUAAAGCGUCCGUAGCCGGCUGGGUAAGUUCCUUGGGAAAUUUGGCUGCUUAACAGUCAAGCUUUCAGGGAAUACUGCCCCGGCUUGGGACCGGGAGAGGUCAGAGGUACUCCAGGGGUAGGGGUGAAAUCCAUUAAUCCUUGGGGGACCACCGGUAGCGAAGGCGUCUGACCAGACCGGGUCCGACGGUGAGGGACGAAGGCUAGGGGCGCGAACCGGAUUAGAUACCCCUGUAGU
rnacentral:rRNA from 1 species